GUAGUGGGGGAUAACCUGGGGAAACCCAGGCUAAUACCGCAUACGUCCUACGGGAGAAAGCAGGGGAUCUUCGGACCUUGCGCUAUCGGAUGAGCCUAUGUCGGAUUAGCUUGUUGGUGAGGUAAUGGCUCACCAAGGCGACGAUCCGUAGCUGGUCUGAGAGGAUGAUCAGCCACAUCGGGACUGAGACACGGCCCGAACUCCUACGGGAGGCAGCAGUGGGGAAUAUUGGACAAUGGGCGAAAGCCUGAUCCAGCCAUGCCGCGUGUGUGAAGAAGGCUUUCGGGUUGUAAAGCACUUUCAGUGAGGAAGAAGGCCUUGGGGCUAAUACCCCCGAGGAAGGACAUCACCCACAGCGGG
rnacentral:rRNA from 1 species